rnacentral:misc_RNA from 1 species
GAGAAUUGGUUUCUCUUGGUCCCUAAACUUCCUGGUUCUACAUCAGUUUUUGGUAUCAGAGCCUUCUAAAAUCCCACCCUCCCACUGUUUGAAAUUUCCUUCCUUUCUGUUUCUUUGGAAUUUCCUUUGCUGUUUAAAAAAUGAAAAAGGGCCCAGAAAAGUUGUGAGAAACAGAACAGGAAGAAAAACACCAUCGCCCCAACACCCUUCACUUUCACCCAUCGUCAGACAAUUGAGACUAUCAGGCAACCCCUUCCUCAGCCUCAGGCGAGUCUAUUGAAUCCUGUCUGGCCACCUGAAGCUUAAUGGAUUUCCAGAUCGGACUGGGUCGAGAUUCAACCUGAUUCACAACCCAGUUAAAUCUCCUCUGAUUCCAGCAGCCGUAACUUCCCUGCUUCUGCAUGCUGGAGACACUUUUCUGAUGUUGAAGAUCAAUUCGGCGCCUCCAAGUAGCCAAAUCUGGUGGUUGGGUUUGACCCAAAUACAAGACAUAGGCCUAUUUGUGGAGUUCUUAGAAACCCUAAUUCAACUCUAAU